AUUGAACGCUGGCGGCAGGCCUAACACAUGCAAGUCGAGCGGAUGAAGGGAGCUUGCUCCUGGAUUCAGCGGCGGACGGGUGAGUAAUGCCUAGGAAUCUGCCUGGUAGUGGGGGAUAACGUCCGGAAACGGGCGCUAAUACCGCAUACGUCCUGAGGGAGAAAGUGGGGGAUCUUCGGACCCCACGCUAUCAGAUGAGCCUAGGUCGGAUUAGCUAGUUGGUGGGGUAAAGGCCUACCAAGGCGACGAUCCGUAACUGGUCUGAGAGGAUGAUCAGUCACACUGGAACUGAGACACGGUCCAGACUCCUACGGGAGGCAGCAGUGGGGAAUAUUGGACAAUGGGCGAAAGCCUGAUCCAGACAUGCCGCGUGUGUGAAGAAGGUCUUCGGAUUGUAAAGCACUUUAAGUUGGGAGGAAGGGCAGUAAGUUAAUACCUUGCUGUUUUGACGUUACCAACAGAAUAAGCACCGGCUAACUUCGUG
rnacentral:rRNA from 1 species